rnacentral:rRNA from 1 species
CGUCAGGAUGAACGCUAGCGACAGGCCUAACACAUGCAAGUCGAGGGGCAGCGCGGGAGAAGCUUGCUUUCCUGGCGGCGACCGGCGCACGGGUGCGUAACAGGUGUGCAAUCUGUCCGAUAGUCGGGGGAUAGCCCAGCGAAAGCUGAAUUAACACUCCAUGUGAAUCGAAGCCGCAUGACUUUGAUUUGAAACGCAAGGACUAUGGGUGAGCACGCUUCUGAUUAGCUAGUUGGUGGGGUAACGGCUCACCAAGGCGACGAUCAGUAGGGGUUCUGAGAGGAAGGUCCCCCUACAUUGGAACUGAGACACGGUCCAAACUCCUACGGGAGGCAGCAGUGAGGAAUAUUGGUCAAUGGGCGAGAGCCUGAACCAGCCAAGUCGCGUGAAGGAUGAAGGUUCUAUGGAUUGUAAACUUCUUUUGUCCGAGGGUAAAAAAGGCCACGUGUGGCUUCUUGCAAGUAUCGGACGAAUAAGCAUCGGCUAACUCCGUGCCAGCCGCCGC